CCGCAACGAUCAGCCGUGAACCCGGUCAGGCCUGGAAGGGAGCAGCCGCAGCGGUGACAUUGUGUGCCGG
rnacentral:SRP_RNA from 1 species